rnacentral:rRNA from 1 species
UACGAAGGGGGCUAGCGUUGUUCGGAAUUACUGGGCGUAAAGCGCGCGCAGGCGGUCUUUCAAGUCAGUGGUGAAAGCCCGGAGCUCAACUCCGGAAUUGCCAUUGAGACUGUAAGACUUGAGGAUGAGAGAGGUGAGUGGAAUUGCGAGUGUAGAGGUGAAAUUCGUAGAUAUUCGCAAGAACACCAGUGGCGAAGGCGGCUCACUGGCUCGGAACUGACGCUGAGGGACGAAAGCUAGGGGAGCAAACAGG